GACGGGGCCCGCACAAGCGGUGGAGCAUGUGGUUAAUUCGAAGCAACGCGAAGAACCUUACCAGGUCUUGACAUCCCCUGAUAACCCGAGAGAUCGGGCGUUCCCCUUCGGGGGACAGGGUGACAGGUGGUGCAUGGUUGUCGUCAGCUCGUGUCGUGAGAUGUUGGGUUAAGUCCCGCAACGAGCGCAACCCUCGACCUUAGUUGCCAGCAUUCAGUUGGGCACUCUAAGGUGACUGCCGGCUAAAAGUCGGAGGAAGGUGGGAUGACGUCAAAUCAGCAUGGCCCUUAUAUCCAGGGCUACACACACGCUACAAUGGUCGGUACAAAGGGCAGCGAAGCCGCGAGGUGGAGCGAAUCCCAGCAAAGCCGACCGUAGUACGGAUAGCAGGCUGCAACUCGCCUGCUUGAAGCUGGAGUUGCUAGUAACCGCGCGUCAGCAUAGUGCGGUGAAUACGUUCCCGGGGCUU
rnacentral:rRNA from 1 species